rnacentral:rRNA from 1 species
UACGAAGGGGGCGAGCGUUGUUCGGAAUUACUGGGCGUAAAGGGCGCGUAGGCGGCCGAUCAAGUUAGAUGUGAAAGUCCUGGGCUUAACCUGGGGACUGCAUUUGAUACUGAUUGGCUCGAAUUCGGGAGAGGAUAGCGGAAUUCCCAGUGUAGAGGUGAAAUUCGUAGAUAUUGGGAAGAACACCGGUGGCGAAGGCGGCUAUCUGGACCGACAUUGACGCUGAGGCGCGAAAGCGUGGGGAGCAAACAGG